UAAUACGUAGGAGGCGAGCGUUGUCCGGAUUUACUGGGCGUAAAGGGCGUGUAGGCGGCCGGGUAAGUCCUCUGUGAAAUCUCCCGGCUCAACCGGGAUAGGUCAGAGGAUACUGCCUGGCUUGAGGGCAGCAGAGGAGGGUGGAAUUCCCGGUGUAGUGGUGGAAUGCGUAGAUAUCGGGAGGAACAUCGGUGGCGAAGGCGGCCCUCUGGGCUGUACCUGACGCUGAGGCGCGAAAGCGUGGGGAGCGAACCGGAUUAGAUACCCGGGUAGUCCACGCCAUAAACGAUGGACGCUAGGUAUGGGGGGUAUCGACCCCCUCCGUGCCGUAGUUAACGCGUUAAGCGUCCCGCCUGGGGAGUACGGCCGCAAGGCUA
rnacentral:rRNA from 1 species